rnacentral:rRNA from 1 species
UUGGAGGGCAAGUCUGGUGCCAGCAGCCGCGGUAAUUCCAGCUCCAAUAGCGUAUAUUAAAGUUGUUGCAGUUAAAAAGCUCGUAGUUGAACUUCGGGGUCUACCCAUUGGUCAGGCUUAAUUGUCUGUACUGGUGAGAUGGAUCUCUACCUUCUGAGGAACUUUCAUGCCAUUUAUUUGGUGUGAUGGGAAAUCAGGACUGUUACUUUGAAAAAAUUAGAGUGUUUAAAGCAGACUAUCGUCUGAAUACAUUAGCAUGGAAUAAUGAAAUAGGACGGACUGAUUCUAUUUCGUUGGUUUCUAGGAUCACCGUAAUGAUUAAUAGGGAUAGUUGGGGGCAUUAGUAUUCAAUUGUCAGAGGUGAAAUUCUUGGAUUUAUUGAAGACUAACUACUGCGAAAGCAUUUGCCAAGGAUGUUUUCAUUAAUCAAGAACGAAAGUUAGGGGAUCGAAGACGAUCAGAUACCGUCGUAGUCUUAACCAUAAACUAUGCCGACUAGGGAUCGGACGAAGUUAAUUUAUAAUGACGCGUUCGCGCCUUACCGGGAAA